CGCGCGUCGGCCAGGGCGCGGUGGUUGGGCGUCUCCUGCGCGCCGAACAGGGCGGCGAGGGUCGACAGCUUGUGGUUGGGGGCCUCGUCGCGCAGC
rnacentral:tRNA from 1 species